rnacentral:rRNA from 1 species
AGAACGAACGCUGGCGGCAGGCCUAACACAUGCAAGUCGAACGCUCGUAGCAAUACGAGAGUGGCAGACGGGUGAGUAACGCGUGGGAACCUUCCCAGUGGUACGGAAUAGCUCAGGGAAACUUGAGGUAAUACCGUAUACGCCCUUCGGGGGAAAGAUUUAUCGCCAUUGGAUGGGCCCGCGUAGGAUUAGCUAGUUGGUGAGGUAACGGCUCACCAAGGCGACGAUCCUUAGCUGGUCUGAGAGGAUGAUCAGCCACACUGGGACUGAGACACGGCCCAGACUCCUACGGGAGGCAGCAGGUGGGGAAUAUUGGACAAGUGGGCGCAAGCCUGAUCCAGCCAUGCCGCGUGAGUGACGAAGGCCUUAGGUUGUAAAGCUCGUUUUUGGGCGGGGAAGAGUAAGUAGACGGUACCCGCGAGAAUAAAGCUCCGCUAACUCGUGCCAGCAGCCGC